AUUGAACGCUGGCGGCAUGCUUUACACAUGCAAGUCGAACGGCAGCACAGGGAGCUUGCUCCUGGGUGGCGAGUGGCGAACGGGUGAGUAAUGUAUCGGAACGUGCCUGGUAGUGGGGGAUAACUACUCGAAAGAGUGGCUAAUACCGCAUGAGAUCUUUGGAUGAAAGCGGGGGACCUUCGGGCCUCGUGCUACUGGAGCGGCCGAUAUCAGAUUAGGUUGUUGGUGGGGUAAAGGCCUACCAAGCCUGCGAUCUGUAGCUGGUCUGAGAGGACGACCAGCCACACUGGGACUGAGACACGGCCCAGACUCCUACGGGAGGCAGCAGUGGGGAAUUUUGGACAAUGGGCGCAAGCCUGAUCCAGCAAUGCCGCGUGCAGGACGAAGGCCUUCGGGUUGUAAAAUGCUUUUGUACAGAACGAAAAGUAUCUGGCUAAUAUCUAGAGAUCAUGACGGUACUGUAAGAAUAAGCACCGGCUAACUACGUG
rnacentral:rRNA from 1 species